rnacentral:lncRNA from 1 species
UUCUUCGAAGGAGAAAUAAUCAGCAAAAAACACCCUUUCUUAACUCGCAAGUGGGAUGCAGAUGAAGAUGUUGAUCGGAAACACUGGAACAUUGGAAGAUAUCUGGAUCUGCAGACUCUGCUAGACUGGACUGAAACAUUUUGGGGCAAGUUUCUGGCUUUUUAUCAGUAUGCAAAAUCAUUUAACUCAGAUGACUUUGAUUAUGAAGAGCUGAAGAAUGGAGACUACGUCUUCAUGAGGUGGAAGGAACAGUUUCUGGUCCCAGAUCACACGAUCAAAGACAUCAGUGGUGCUUCUUUUGCCGGGUUCUACUACAUCUGCUUUCAGAAGUCAGCAGCCUCCAUAGAGGGCUACUACUACCAUAGGAGUUCAGAAUGGUAUCAGUCCCUCAAUCUAACCCAUGUUCCUGAACACAGUGCACCCAUCUAUGAAUUCCGGUGACAACGGUUCAGAACAGCAACCAAAUAAAACUGAACUUGGC